CCGGACUUGUCUCAAGAGUAGUAGACCUCAUUUGGUAUUUUUGAUAUUUAAUUCUCAUUUCCAUUUUUGGUAUUCAAUUCAACAAAUAUUUGAAACAGGAUCUUAACUGUAAUCAUCUUUUUGCCUCUGAGUUUCAGCAGAGGCUUCAAAGGCCAAUAAUAAAACUGUUGGUGGGAAAUCGCGUUGUCAUUCCAGGGCGAGGUGCUGGAGCCUCCUUCAAGACUUUCAAAGGGAAUGCCUGGAGUCAUGCCGCAGGCCUUUGCCCAGCAGCCAGCUCGAGCCCAUGAAGAUUAGCCCUGAGCUAGCAUCUGCCGCCAAUCCUCCUCUUCUUGCUGAGGAAGACUGGCCCUGAGCUAACAUCCAUGCCCAUGUGUCUGUGUGUCCCUGCUGCAGUAAAAGUUCCCUUUUCUUUCCUGGGAAAAGAGAUGGAAACGCAUCAAGGAGGAAUGAAAGGCUGUUGGACAGAUCUUCUGGGACUGCGUUAGCCGUGGGGUUCUUGGAGAAAGAGAGAGAUGGACUGUGGUGGAUGACAAAGGAUCCAUUUCCUGACAACCUGGGAGAUUGGGGCUGGAGCCACUUCUAUUUUCACUUCAGAAACUAUUGUCAGGCUCAUUUUUAUCAAUCUGGUAGGAGUGAAGUGAUAUCUAGUAAGCAAAUGGGGAUCUCAGGCCUGUACCCACAAGGAAACAAAUUCUGCCACAACCAUGUCAGCUUGAAAGAGGACCAUGAGCUCCAGAAUGAAACGCAGCCUGCCUAACACCAUGACUGUACCUCGUGAGACUCUGAGCAGAGGACCCAGGAAAGCCAUGCCUGCAUCCUGACCCCCCAGAAAUGGAGAUAAUAAAUGUAUAUUGUUUUAAGCCACUAAAUUUGUGUUAAUUAGUUGUGUAGCAACAGAUAACUAAUACAAUAUUGGAUCCAUG
rnacentral:lncRNA from 1 species